ACAGCCAUGUCACGUUGAAGCACCUGUUCCCGUACGAUCACUGAAAUUAAGCAACGUAGAGCUUGGUCAGUAACUAGAUGGCUGACCACUUGGGCAUACCAGGUACUGUAAG